rnacentral:rRNA from 1 species
CAGGCCUAACACAUGCAAGUCGAGCGGAGAUGAGGUGCUUGCACCUUAUCUUAGCGGCGGACGGGUGAGUAAUGCUUAGGAAUCUGCCUAUUAGUGGGGGACAACAUUUCGAAAGGAAUGCUAAUACCGCAUACGCCCUACGGGGGAAAGCAGGGGAUCUUCGGACCUUGCGCUAAUAGAUGAGCCUAAGUCGGAUUAGCUAGUUGGUGGGGUAAAGGCCUACCAAGGCGACGAUCUGUAGCGGGUCUGAGAGGAUGAUCCGCCACACUGGGACUGAGACACGGCCCAGACUCCUACGGGAGGCAGCAGUGGGGAAGAUUGGACAAUGGGGGGAACCCUGAUCCAGCCAUGCCGCGUGUGUGAAGAAGGCCUUUUGGUUGUAAAGCACUUUAAGCGAGGAGGAG